rfam:Daphnia magna strain Xinb3 scaffold00211, whole genome shotgun sequence.
CAAUCGGCCCUUUUCAGGGCCACCAUUUUCCUUAAGAAAGAUAACG